GUGAACGCUGGCGGUAGGCCUAACACAUGCAAGUCGAACGGCAGCACAGUAAGAGCUUGCUCUUACGGGUGGCGAGUGGCGGACGGGUGAGGAAUACAUCGGAAUCUACUUUUUCGUGGGGGAUAACGUAGGGAAACUUACGCUAAUACCGCAUACGACCUACGGGUGAAAGCAGGGGAUCUUCGGACCUUGCGCGAUUGAAUGAGCCGAUGUCGGAUUAGCUAGUUGGCGGGGUAAAGGCCCACCAAGGCGACGAUCCGUAGCUGGUCUGAGAGGAUGAUCAGCCACACUGGAACUGAGACACGGUCCAGACUCCUACGGGAGGCAGCAGUGGGGAAUAUUGGACAAUGGGCGCAAGCCUGAUCCAGCCAUACCGCGUGGGUGAAGAAGGUCUUCGGGUUGUAAAGCCCUUUUGUUGGGAAAGAAAAGCAGCAGGUUAAUACCCCGCUGUUCUGACGGUACCCAAAGAAUAAGCACCGGCUAACUUCGUG
rnacentral:rRNA from 1 species